UACGUAGGGUGCAAGCGUUGUCCGGAAUUAUUGGGCGUAAAGAGCUCGUAGGCGGUCUGUCGCGUCUGCUGUGAAAACCUAGGGCUUAACUCUGGGCGUGCAGUGGGUACGGGCAGGCUAGAGUGCGGUGGGGGAGACUGGAAUUCCUGGUGUAGCGGUGAGAUGCGCAGAUAUCAGGAGGAACACCGGUGGCGAAGGCGGGUCUCUGGGCCGUAACUGACGCUGAGGAGCGAAAGCAUGGGGAGCGAACAGG
rnacentral:rRNA from 1 species